UGGGGAAUAUUGCACAAUGGGCGCAAGCCUGAUGCAGCCAUGCCGCGUGUAUGAAGAAGGCCUUCGGGUUGUAAAGUACUUUCAGCGGGGAGGAAGGUGUUGUGGUUAAUAACCGCAGCAAUUGACGUUACCCGCAGAAGAAGCACCGGCUAACUCCGUG
rnacentral:rRNA from 1 species